GUGAAUCAUCGAAUUUUUGAACGCAAAUUGCACUUUCUGGUAUUCCGGAGAGUAUGCCUGUUUGAGGGUCAGUUAAAUAAAAAUCGGUUGUGUUUCUGCUUUUUGUUGUUACGGCUCGGGAUUUGGUUGUCUUUGCCUCGGGUAAGUGACUUAAAAUUUUUGAUGGUUUUUUAUCGUAUUUAUUUUUAUUACUUACGGUUGAGAUA
rnacentral:misc_RNA from 1 species